rnacentral:lncRNA from 1 species
CACGUGCUGCUGUCAGGAAGGUUAGGGCUGUGGGGGGUUAAGAGAGUUUCCCACUGGGUUGUAUAAGCUCCUGUCAAAUGAGGAGAUAGUCUCCCUCAUGAGAAGAGUGAAGGUGGUUUGUGGAGGCAUGCCGACUUUCCACUGUAAACUUCAUGUCGGUGCCAAAUUACAGAAGAGCCUCUUCUCCCGUCUUCCUCUCUCCCCCAACUCCUUCCCUUGCUGGAAAGCAAUUUAUUCUCAAGUCAGGGAGAGUCUGCUGCCUGGAUGUUCUGACUGCCUAUUUCACUCUGGCCUUGUUUACCUGGGUUUCAUUUAAUUAAGAUCUACUGACAUCCAUUAACACAAUUUGUAAACUCUGUGCCAGAUGCUACAGAAUAAGAAGGAUGAGAAAAACCGUCAAGAAACUUACAAUUUCAGAGGUAAAGCAAAACAAGUACAAAGAGCAAUUAACACAAAGCAAAGCAAAGCAAAACAAGGAUCACGAGGUGUAUAUCAGCUCUUCACACUGGAGUCCAAAGAAAAGGCAGCUGUGUUUCCAGCAGCUCAUUCUCAGAGAAAGCACGUUAAGACAAACCACAGAAGCAGCUGGGCUGUGUGUUACCUACUUGUUUAUACAUUCCUGUCAUUAAAAACUACGGGUUGACACACAUCGAUGACUCCGCUAUUGUACUGAUGUGUAUUGAGUGCUGUUUUGCAAAGAUGCUUUAAAAAGAUAAUUUCCCUCUGCAUGUCUUUUUCUUCAUUUUAUUUAUGUUUUUUUAACAUAAUAGGUUCUGGUUUGUGUA